AAAAUGGGUUUCUUUUCUUAAAGAAUUUGGCCACACGGAGAGAGUUAUCCCGUUUUCUGUUGGAGUUAAGUUGAUGAUAAAGAGCUAAUACAUGAUGGUUUAGCAAUGAUGAGGGUAUGAAUUGAUAAAAAUAUGUCAUGAAGGGGAAAAUUGAUCAUUGGUGGAUGGUAUAGAUCCUUCUUCCCUAAUUUUUUAAUUGAUAGCUCCCUCGGACGUAGCAACCGCUUCGUUAAAAGGCUGAAACAUAUUGCUCUUUGAGGAAUUAUGACCAUCUUUAGGUAUUCCUAUGGGUGAUAAUUUGAGCCCAAACUUAUUUAACCUGCUCAAUUAACCCAGAGAUUAAUGGGUUGGGCUAUAACAUUUUAGCUCAUGGCUCAAUUUGGGUUGAACCCUAGUUAACCCAUUAUUUUUUAUAGCCCAUUAUGACCUAUUUAAUAGUCUAAAUACAACCCAUGAAACUCACCGACAACAAAGGAUCUCAACCC
rnacentral:lncRNA from 1 species